AUUGAACGCUGGCGGCAGGCCUAACACAUGCAAGUCGAGCGAGCGGCGGCCGGGUGAGUAAUGUAUGGGGACUGCCCGAUAGAGGGGGAUAACUACUGGAAACGGUAGCUAAUACCGCAUACUAUCGGAUAACCCAUAUGGGAUUAGCUAGUCGGUGAGGUAAUGGCUCACCUAGGCGACGAUCCCUAGCUGGUCUGAGAGGAUGAUCAGCCGCAUUUGGACUGAGACACGGCCCAGGCUCCUACGGAGGCAGCAGGGGGGAAAAUUGCACAAGGGGCGAAAGCCUGAUACAGCCAUGCCGCGUGUGUGAAGAGGACCCUAGGAUUGUAAAGUGCUUGCAGUCGGGAGGCGUUACCGACAGAAAGAGCAGCGACUAACUCCGUGCCAGCAGCCGCGGUAAUAC
rnacentral:rRNA from 1 species